rnacentral:lncRNA from 1 species
UUGAAUCCAUCCUGUGCCAGCAGUUUACACCAGAAUGACCUCGUUUAUUACAAAUUUGGCAUUCCAAUAAAUUUCUCUGGUCUCUGCCUCGAUCUGGAAAGGACCAUCCUGAUGUUCUUGACCUGCCUCGUCCUCGGUUGGUGAAGUAGAAACGUCCACGACCUCUGCCGCGAACUGAAAGUAGUGCAAAUGCAGAGUCGACAGAGGACUGUUGUUUUUCCUUGUUAGACAAGAUAAUCUCUUCACUGCAUAAAAGUGCAUAGAGUUCAUCCAAAGUAAUAGCUGAUGACCGAGUUCUAAUUGCAGUAGAGAAGGAAUCAUAAGCUGCUGGGAGGCCAUUCAAAACAUACAGCGCCACAUCCUCCAUAUCUAACUUGGAUCCAACAGCUGCAAGGGCAUCUAUCUUAUUCCUGAUCUCAUUUAAAUACUGCUGCAUUGGUAGAUCUUGCUUCUGUAUAUUGUGAAGCUCAUUCUUUAGUUGAAUUACAUGAGAUCUAGUUGAGGAAUUCAAUCUACAUUCCAAUGUAGCCCAAAGUUGAUGGCAAUGCUCAAGAUUAAUUACAUAGGGUAGGAUAGAAGAAGAAAUUAUUGAAUUCAAAGCCACUGCUAAGAACUGAUCAUUCAAAAACCAAGCAUCAAAUUCAGAACUAGUUGGUGAUUGUAGACAAGUUGAUGAUCCGUCUAGAAAUCCAAAAAAUUCACUUGCUUUGAACACUCGAGUGAUUUGGGAUUUCCAGACAAGAUAAUUUUCAGAGGUAAGUUGACUGGGUACAAGUGAUUGAAUCCUUGAAGUCAAGAAUUUAAGUUUGGGAGAUAUAACCUGAUCUUUAGAAGACCUUACAGCUUCAUCUGAUCUGGUAUGAUUCACUGAUGUAGGUGAUGCCAUAGAAUCACUCUUAAGAUCUUCUAAUCUUACUAACAGAUCUUAAUGAGCUAGUGGAUCAUGGUGAGAUGAUCUGGAUCCCUGCUCUGAUACCAUGAAGAAGUCUGGGAGAAGAUAUGUUGAAGCUACAGUGGCUGGCACAUUCCUUAAAAACUAGCACGGCACUGAAACUGCUCUGCUACAGUAAACUGUUGAGAAAGCAGAGAACAGGAAAGAAGAGUUUGAAUGUGAUUUUUAUUGCUUGCAAAGAGCUUACAGUAGAUGUGUAUUUAUAGCUGAUGAUCCAGGAUACAAGUAAACCAGCUGCUGAUUAGCUGGAGUUGGUUACAACAGUUGUAAACUAACUGAAUUCAGUUGGGAUUAACUGAAUUCAGAUUUUGCUAGAAGUUUACAGAGUGUGCUAGAGAAUUCUGGAAUGGACUAGUAGCUUAACAGUAAACACUGACCAGUUUAAUGCAUAGUUUUUUUUUUUCAUGAUCUUAUGAACAAUGUCAUGUGUGUGUUACAUCAGUCGUAGAGCUAAAAAAUAUUUCAUGAAUAUUUUAGAGAUUAUCCAAGUGGCUAAAGUGGACAACAAUUUUGUAGGUCCUCUUUCACUAAAGUAAGAUUUUGUACAGACACCUAAGUGUGUCAUCAUAUAGAAUAGUUAAUAUUAGCAAUCCAUCUCACAAAGCACUGUCUGGAUAGAUGUGUGAACCAGAUGCACGAGCAUGCAAAUGACCGUUGACAAGAAGGAUAGGAAAUUUUACUGUAUUUUGGAAGUUAGUAAAUUUGCAGCCAAAUCCAUAUACCUACGAUAAUACUUUGGACUAUAUCCUUAAUAUGGAGCAUAAUGCUUUAUUCAUUUGCUUACUUCAAACCUUUGUUGUGAAUUUGGAUUAAAAUAAGGCCAGAUAUUAAGAAAAGGAAUCAUUGCAUGUUUUUUUUCUAUUAUUUAGCUAACUAAAAAAUGGUUUACUCUGGAAGAUUUGGAGAGCUUUUGUAAGAAAAUUUAUUUAUUCUUGAUAUAGGUUUGGAACUCAUUAUCACUAAAUUUUAGCAUGUAUAGAAAUAGCUAUAAUUAAUGAAUUAGGAUGCAUUGAUCCUAGGUUAACUAAGUUCUAAAUUAAGCAGCCUCAUUUUAUCCUUAAGCACUAACAAACGCAGUUCAUAAUAAUAAAUGCCUUAAAAAUUAGGAUUUGGAACUAGCAAGUGCAGGCUUGUAAGAUGUCACAACUACAGUCUCAUACACAAGAGUCGCUCUCCUAUGCAGUCCCAAAGCCCCUCCAAUGUCAAGCUCCAUCACAACCUGUGGUACGGUUAGUCCCAGUCAUUCUCCCAAUCACAGAAUUAACUUCAUGAGCAUGUUAUCCAACAAGCAGCCGAAAGAUCUAUCGCAAUAUCACAUGAAGAUAUGUUGACAUGGCAUAAUAUUGGUCUCAAGAAUCGUUUAAUCCAAAGCAUUGGAAAAAUACAGUCGAGAAACAAUGAUGCCGCAAUAUUUUUUUUCUCUUUAUAUAAUUAAAUAGGAUAUUAUUCACUGCGCAACAAUCAUCUCUACAAUCUACUCAACACUACAAAAAAAAUUAGACAUUAUUGACGCUUUUUAUUGCAUAUAUUGAUGUCUAUAAGCGUCGUUAGUUUUAUUCCCGACGCUUUAUAAAGUAUCGCAAAAGCACCGGCAAUGUGAGCAUUGAAAUUCAAUUAAUUACCGAUACUUAUAAGUGUCGGUAUUUAGCGAUGCAAAUAAGUAUUGUCAAUUAGUGACGCGUAUAAGCAUCGGCAAUUAGCGACGCAGAUAAGCGUCGCUCAUUGCUGACGCUUUUAUGUGUCGGCUAAUAGCGAUGCUUAAUAGCGUCGGUCAUUAGCGACGCUAAAAAGUGCCGCUAAUAUUUAUUAUAACGAUACUUUCAAGCGUCGUAAGAGUUUUUUUUAAAAAAGAUUAUUUAAAUUUUUUUUAAAACUAUGUAUAUAUAUAUAUAUACACUAAAUACAUACAUAACAAAAGUCAUAUUAUUAUAUAUAUCACAAUCAAACAGAUUAUUCGAAAUAUUCAUAUUGUCAAAUAUAAUUACAUUUACGUUAUAAAUUUACAUUUACAAUAUAUUUUAAAAAAUAAGAUAUAUAUAACUCCUAAAUAAAUAGUCUAAGAAUUAUUAGGGGAUUAAAGAAAGUAUCAGGAACCUUAAAAAAAAGAUAGAAACUUUAAAAGUAAAGAAUACGAAAAUUAUUAUGCUAAUACAAAAAUAUAUAAUAAUUAUGUAAAAUAUUUAAAAUUAUUUUUUGUUGAGAUCUACAAAAGGUUUGCAAAGAUAGCCUAUUUGCCAAAAGCUAUUACGGUAUUUGGGGUCCCUGAAAGUGUUUCUGGCUCGAUCAACUCAGGGGUUAUUAUGCUCUGGCGGUUAGACUCUGAAAGCUAUAGAUGAAAUACUUUAAAUUAUUUGUUAUACCUAUUGAUUUACAAUAUGUUAUAACGGAAAAAUCUUACUUUCUCACAGAUUAUAGGAGUUAUAUAUAUAUAUAUAUUGAAGCAUAUUAACAAUGUAAAUGUAAUUAUAUUUGAUAAUAUAAAUAUUUCAAAUAAUCUGCUUGAUUGUGACAUGUAUUAUUAUACGACUUUUUUAUAUAUGUAUUUGGUGUAUAUAUGUAUACAAAGUUUUAUUUUUUUAAAAUAUUUUUUUAAAAAUAACUCUUACGGUGCUUUAAAAUGUUGUUAUAAUAUAUAUCAGCGAUUAGCAACGCUUAUAAGCAUCAGCGAUUAGCAAUGUUUAUAUGCAUCACCAAUUAAUGAUGCUUUCAAAAAGCGUCGGUAAGUUGAUUUUCGACGUUUACAUUAUCGAUGCUUUUACGACCUUUUAGAAAGCACUGAAAAUAAAACUACCGAUAAGCGUCGGUAUAUAUACUAAAAAGCGCCGGUAAUACUUAUUUUUUUUAUAGUACAUUAUUUUUGUAAUAGUAAAGACCACUUGAUGAAAUUUCUACAGCAGUAAGAAAAUGCUACUAAAUUCCGAUAAAUACUGCUAGUAAAAGUUUACUUCUCCAUUAGCAGCGCAAUGUGCUAAAGUUAAAAUAGCGACAGGACAUUCGACAACGACCAAGCAGCGGAAGGGAAAAUCGCUUGGAAAAGUAUCCACAGCAAUUUUUCAUACUUUUACCGGCUUCGACCGUUGCUAAAUCUUCUUUUUCUUAUAGUAAAAAAUAAAAAAUAUAAAUAAAACUAAUUUUUUUAGUGAUGGAAUAAAUUUCAUCACUAAAAGUAACUUAACAUAAGGCAACAAAUAUCAACCUUCAUGCAAAAAGAAAAUUGCUUAGCGAUAAAUUCAUCAAUGAAAGCUUUCAUCACAAAGGUUGUAGAUUUUGUGACAAAAUUCAUUUUGCCAUCAGAGUUAGCUGUUGCUGAUAAAAAAAUUUUGUAGCCAGUAGUUCACAAUUUGCAGCAAAAGUAUUUCAUCCCCAAUACCUGACUAUGCAUGAUAAAAAUACUUUGUCUCCAACAGUCAUUCUUCUAUGGCGAAGAAAAUUUCAUUAUCAAAUCGUUUAAUAAUGAAAGUUUUUUCAUCAUAGAAAAUAUCAUCUUCAUAGCAAAAAUUACUGCACAUGACCUUUAGAAAUAAGAUGAAAUUACUUGUUUUCAUGAUGAGAUUUACAUACCUUUAAUAACGAAAUAUUUUGUCAUAAAUCAUGGAUAAAUUGGUGAUGAGAGACGUUUCAUCACGAAAUGCUGGGUAUUUGGUAAUGAAUUACUGCUUCCAUCGUAGAAAAAGUCUAGCGACCGGGCGCUAGCCAUGAACCUAGUAAUAAAUUUUGUUUUUUACUGAUGAAAUUUUUUAUAGGUAAACUUAUAAAUUCUUAUAGUGAUAAUAUUAAGUCAAAUAAUUACAUAUAAAAAUUAUAAAAAUAAUAGUUGCUAAUUGUAUUAUAUAUAAAUUGUUAAUUUUAUAUUUUUCGAGCUUAAUUGAACAUAUAAAAAUUAUACUAAUAUGCAAACUUGAGCCAAUCGGAAGUAGCCCAUACACAGCUUGUUUGUUUGGUAAUCUUGAUAAAAUAGGCUUGGGUAUCUUGAAUUUCAACAUGCACUUUAUAGUGAUGGUAGUAUACGCACUACCGGCCAGGCCAUCAUUGAGGUGGAGCUGCAGGCUGCCUGAAAGAGCAUGUCCUAUGCAAGAAGAGUCCUUGAAGCCGACAUGAUAUUUCUAGAGGGGACUCCAUCACGGUGGUUGACUGGAUACAGGGAAUGGAUCCGGAUGGAGACGAGCACCCAUUGUUUUGCGAGAUCCGCGAUUUGGCCAGGGAGAUAGGCUUUUUUCAAAUAGCGCAUGUUUAUAAGGAGGCGAACAAUAUGGCAGACUGGGUCGUCUUCUUUGUGGCUCGGCAUUCGGGCGGAUUAAUCUGGACCAGGGUCGGAGAUACACCCCACUCUCUAUAUCAUCUUUUUUUUUUUGAUUUGGCGGACUGUAUUCAUGUGAGAUAUAUAUGAAUGACCGUUAAAAAAAAAAAAAAAGAAAGAAAAGAAAAAGAAAGAAAGGAAGGAAGGAGGAGAAGGUAGUGUACGUGUCUACAUUGUUCUUCCAAAUUGGCUAGUACGAGUUGUUUUGUGUGCGUUGUAUCAAGAGAAUGUGAUUUACAACUGGAGAAAUUAUUGGUCGCACCAACUUGACCGUAUAUGCAGCUAAUAAUGAUAGUUGAUUUUUAGAAUGAUACAAGGAGAUAGGACAAGCUGCCGUGGUUGGCUGCAUGCACCCACGUUGCGCACGCAGGAUAGGCGAUAGUUCCUCUUACAAGAGACCGUGUCAAUUUAGGCCAUCUAAUGAACCGUUCGUGUAUGAUAGCCCACAGAGUCGACUUUGGAGCGGUUUUAUCGGCACACAGAAAGAAGAAAAGUUGCAGCCUCCUCCCUCGACGAAGCCUUUCUAACGUAUCUUUUGUAACUCCUGGAAAGAAAAUAAAGAGAAAUACCACCAUGGAGAGUGUAGACAUUGAUAACGCCAACGUCAAGUUGAAGCGGCUUUGCAUGCCUUGGGACUAAGAAAAGGUAUGUCGAAGUAACAAAACGAUAUGCAUCCAAUUCCGGCCAAUUUUUUUUGACGGAAUGGUCAUGCAAACACGUCUUUUCUAUAGCAAAAAGCCCGUAGGUACCUUGUGGUACUUUUUUAAUAUAUCAUUUUGGAUCCAUGCAGCCUUCUCUCAGGUUUAACCUGCCUAAGGUAAUUUAUCAACCUUAAGUAAUAAAACACCAACUUGGUGCAUCAGGACAAUGGCAUGUGAUGAAUAAAGGUCAUUCAAGUUGAUUUAUUGACCAUCUCUUUUUGUCUGAUUAAAAUUUGGAGCAACAAAGUCACAUAAAAAUAGCGAGCAUGUGCUACUCAAGUAUUUUCUGAGACAAUGGUCUUGCAGAUGCCACCUUUUUCUGCAGUCAGAUGAGUACUCCUUGCAUACUGCCAAUCUAAUUUGUGUCAUGCUGCAAAAAUCUGUCCUGAUUCACGAGUUGAUGAAUCUGGUGUUUAACACUAAUUCAGACAAAAUGCCAUCAAUUACUUUUUUUUUUUCUCAAAAAAAUGGUGAACGAUCACUUCAUCUACCUCCACUUUAGCCUGGGUGUUUGACCGGACCGGUUAAAUGAUCAAAGGUUCAUCAGCCAAAGCAGUAGCAGCAAACUAGCAAUUUCUAAUCCAAAUCCGUCUACCUAUAUGAGUCAAGAGAUGGUUCUUGAUGACUUAAUUGGGUCAGAUUAGGGUCAAUCAAUUUAAGUAUAAACGGAUUGGGUUUCCCACAUCCCUGUAUCAUGUAAGCAUUUGGGAACCAUAAGUUUGCGAAGGUUUAAUUCCAUUGAUUAAAAAGCUUUGGUGUCAAGGAUUAAAAUAAAAAAAUGUCAACGAUAAAAUGAUGCAGGAUUUAUCAUAUUUUCUUCUUCAUUAUAAUUUGUUCUGCUCUCUCUAUAUUUUAAUAUCCAAUUCAACAUUCUUCCCUUGAUUUUUUUUUUUUAUUAUAUAUAUUCAAACGAUAGGAGAUUAUGUGAUUUUUUUUAUUUGUUUGUGAUCCCGUAUAGUUUUGUACUUGGAAUUUUCAAAAUCUCACUCCCCAAGAGCCACCAUGAGGUGACGUCUUUGUUUUUGUCUUUUGUUCUUUUUUCUACUUUUCUAUUUUUUCCGGACCACGUCCAACUUAGAGCAAAACAACACUGUGAUUGGUGGAAUUUUUUUUAAUUAUUAUUUGGCGUGAAAAAAAAGUUUGAUGAAACCCGAUCCUUCACAACUUGUUGGAAGCCAUUCCAAUACCGUCAGUUAACAACUUAUUAGCUCAGCUACUCUUUUCCAAGGACGACUCUCUUUGAGAUUCGUGUACGAUAUCCGUGAGCCCUGAUGUAGUUGCGGACGGCAAUCGUGAUGCAGCGCAAACACUUUGGUUUCAUGGUUCGGUGCGUCAAACUCGUAGAUUCGUUGGUUUUGGUUCCCGUUAAGCUGAGAACGAACACGUAUCACGGUCAGUCUCUGUCUUCUUCCACCAGGACUCCUUCAAACCAGCGCUUAGAAAAAAGAAAAGAAAAAAGAAAGACUUCAAAAUCUAUUAGACUUCUCCUCGCCACAUACAAUUUUACCAAUUAUCUCCAUCUCUCACCAUCAAAAUAGUCCAAUUAAUACUUGGUCAUCUCGCACACGAUUUUCAUAAUUUUUUUUUCGUUUGUUUUCUUCUUAUCCUUCGAUGAAUUGGGUUGUGGCAUUCGAUAAAAGAAAGAAGAAAAAAAAGAAAAGGAAAUGGGAUAAGAAUUUUUGGAUGUGAAUGAAAUUAUGACGUUUGUGGAUUAGGAAGAAGUGCUGGAGAUGCCGUUCUUCAUUUCCACCUCGAAAAGCUGAUCCAAAACCAGCCCCUAUUUUCCUCCACUCUUGUCUUAAAUUAAUAGAUGAUUUCCUGCACGUCACUACCCCUCCUUUGUCAUCACGUACAGACCCAGUGUACCUCCCCCAGCCCAGCUCUUUGUACAACGAACAAAUCACCAUCUCUUAUCGCCAGCCUAUAUAUGACUUUGAUCCACACCACAUCCAUCCAUUCCGGUUUCACUCCAUUCGCUCUCUUCUUAGGAACUGAGGUUCUUAUCUCUUCCUUUGCUGUUCUUCUUUCCUCGCUUGAUUGCGUUCUCUACUUUCAUGUUUUUAUUAGCUUAACUUGAUCAAUGAUUAGCUAGUUGGGAUUUUGUUUUUGAUCUUGUUUUUGUCAAAAGGUGAUGAUUUUUUUCCUUCUUUUGAUUGUUUUUAAAUCUAUUUUAGAUGUAUGUAUGCACAUACAUGAGAUAUUUGUAUAUAUGCUUAGUUUCCUUUUUCAUUCUGAAAAAUCUACUUACAGAUUUUGCGUUUAAUAUCAUGUUAUUCCAUGUUGAGCAGCAUCAAUUGGAUGCUGGAUAUUAGGAGGUGGGGUUGCAAGAUUUGAUAUGAUUUCUUCUUUUCCUGGCUGAAUCACUCUGUUGUUAUGAGGUGAAAUGUGUGACUUGAGGCUCAAAUUACAUGUGUUUUGAGUUGUAGAUUGUCUGGGUUGCAGGGGGUGUGCGAUAAGCAACCAUGAGCAUGGAGAUCACCAACGUUACGGAGUAUCAGGCAAUCGCCAGGCAGAAGCUGCCUAAGAUGGUCUAUGACUACUAUGCCUCUGGUGCAGAGGAUGAGUGGAGUUUGAAGGAAAACAGGGAGGCAUUCUCGAGGAUUCUGUAAGCUUCUUCUGUUGAUUGUCUGUGUUCCCUUUCUGUUGAUGUUUACUUUUGUUGAUUUGAUUUCAAAAUCUGUGCUCUUCUUCUAAUGAUAAAUAUGAUCCAAACUGAUUCCUGUACCGUUGAAGCGAGCAACGCCAGUCUUUUAUAUUGAUGAUGUAGCUUAUCAUGACACCAUGUUGGAUCUUUCAGAAUCUGGCAUUUGUUUGACACUAUGUUGGAAAGAUCACUGUAUUGGUUGCCACAGGUUGUGUCAAUUGUCAAGAUUGUUAUAUCUUAAGCAAAUGAUUCAUUCAGUGCUUGAUGGUGAUGGAUAAUAAAACUUUUGGUCUUUAUUUUGCUAGGUAAGAUGGAUUCAAACUCAUAUUAAAAUACUUACAUGCAUCUUUUUUGUUUAUUUGUAUUUAGAAGGGAGGUUUUCGUGUUUCAUGCAGAUUUACCCUUCUGCCUGCAACUAAGACUUUAGAUUAUUUGAGAUUUACCUUUUCAUAAUGCAGUUAGCACAAGUACAUGUGAAUGAGAUUCUUUCAGAACCCUCAUGGCAAGUUCAGCAGUUCAUCUCGCCAGAGAAAAGUUUUUGCUUGACAUGAUUUAGAAUUAUUUUUUCAAGAUGUCUCAUUUUUUAAAGCAGAAGUCACAUGUCAAAUCUGUAGAAUGAGCAUGAUCAUUUCUGUAGGAAGGGAUUUGUAGAAAAUAUACAAUCUUGUGAGCUGCAGGAUUAAGAUUUUCUCCUCCUCUGCCUUGUAUUUAAUAUUUCAUAUCUUUCAGCUGGUUAAUAUGAUGCUAGUGUAAGCUAAAUAAUAUUUUCCCCCUCCUUUCGAUAUCUCUAUAUAUUUCAUCUUUUCUGAUAUACAGGAAAGAAGGGCGGUAUGAAGGAAUAUAUCAUUAAAGAAUUUCAUUAAGUACAUAGUUCUCAAAC